GCAGGCUCCAUUCAUUUUUCUCUUUUUCCCCUCCUCCCCCCCUUGGCUCUUCAGCUUUGGGCAAAGGUAGGGAGCUAUGGAACUAAAGGGCGACAUGCUUUUCUGAAAGCAAGAGGAGGAGGAAAAAAAGAGACAUUUUAAAAAUAGAUCUUAGAGGAUAGGGGGGAAUGCCACCCCUUUCACACACACCCCAGAUCUUUGGAUGUUGCAAAGCUUUUGUUAAUGGCAUCGAGUGGAAAGAGAUUGCGAAAAAUUAAAGAGUGUUUCCCAAAGAGUUGUGGGUGGAGGGCGCGCUGGGUGGGGAGGGGAGAUGGGACGCAGCAGGCAAGGAGGAGGGGGAGGGCUGGCUUCCCUUUGGAGAAGGGGAGGUUGGGAAAGGUGUAGAGGUCUCCCUACCUGCUCUGAAAUCCAUUUGGUAAAGCCAAAGCUACACUCAGGACUUGCAGCCCUUCAAGGGAGAAAAGGAAGCCGCGUGCAGUGGUUUAGUCAUCAGCAGGUGACUAACCCUGCUAAGCAUUUCACCAGGCGACAGACACCAGAAUGGGAUGGAUGGGGAUGAAGCGAUAGAAGGACAAACAGAGCAAGGGCUGAAGAACAAACGUUGAAAGCUAGAAGCAAUCCCUUCCUCAGGCACAGACUGACUGAAUUGGGGUCUUUUUGCUUUUACGAAAAGGAACUGCUUCCCAGUUCCAGUCAAACAGACCCUGCCACGAUUGCAGCCCUGAGACAGAGCAAGAGAAGCUCACUGGAUUAGCUUAAUAAAAUAUCUUCUCAUCCCAAUAAAGCUACUGAUACUGA